rnacentral:rRNA from 1 species
UGGGGAAUAUUGCACAAUGGGCGCAAGCCUGAUGCAGCCAUGCCGCGUGUAUGAAGAAGGCCUUCGGGUUGUAAAGUACUUUCAGCGGGGAGGAAGGUGUUGUGGUUAAUAACCUCAGCAAUUGACGUUACCCGCAGAAGAAGCACCGGCUAACUCCGUGCCAGCAGCCGCGGUAAUACGGAGGGUGCAAGCGUUAAUCGGAAUUACUGGGCGUAAAGCGCACGCAGGCGGGCUGUCAAGUCGGAUGUGAAAUCCCCGGGCUCAACCUGGGAACUGCAUCCGAAACUGGCAGGCUUGAGUCUUGUAGAGGGGGGUAGAAUUCCAGGUGUAGCGGUGAAAUGCGUAGAGAUCUGGAGGAAUACCGGUGGCGAAGGCGGCCCCCUGGACAAAGACUGACGCUCAGGUGCGAAAGCGUGGGGAGCAAACA